rnacentral:rRNA from 1 species
UAGUCCACGCCGUAAACGAUGAGAACUAGCCGUUGGGACCCUUGAGGUCUUAGUGGCGCAGCUAACGCGAUAAGUUCUCCGCCUGGGGAGUACGGCCGCAAGGUUAAAACUCAAAUGAAUUGACGGGGGCCCGCACAAGCGGUGGAGCAUGUUGUUUAAUUCGAUGCAACGCGAAGAACCUUACCACCCCUUGACAUCCUGCGAACUUUCUAGAGAUAGAUCGGUGCCUUCGGGAACGCAGUGACAGGUGCCGCAUGGCUGUCGUCAGCUCGUGUCGUGAGAUGAUGGGUUAAGUCCCGUAACGAGCGCAACCCUUGUCCUUAGUUGCCAGCGCGUAAUGGCGGGAACUCUAAGGAGACUGCCGGUGACAAACCGGAGGAAGGUGGGGACGACGUCAAGUCAUCAUGGCCCUUACGACCUGGGCUACACACGUGCUACAAUGGAACGCACAGAGGGCAGCAAACCCGCGAGGGGGAGCGAAUCCCACAAAACGUUUCGUAGUCCGGAUUGGAGUCUGCAACUCG